rnacentral:rRNA from 1 species
UCCCUCCCCCCAGUGUGUCUGCAGAUUUAUUUUGUGGAGAUGUUGAGACCUUGUUGCGUGAACCGCGCUGUCCUGAUUUAGUACUCAUCGCAGUUGUUCGUCAAGAUCGAUGCAGUCGCGAGUACACGCGUUGAGUGGUACCAGUUUAUGAGUUAAAUCGUUCGUAGCAGAUUUUAAUCUUUGGGAAUCUCACGUUUCACUGUGAGUAUAUAAGAGAUACUGGAAUCUAGGGAUUCGGCAGAAGUAAGAGGUAUCUCAGGGGUAGAAGUGAAAUUCCGUAAUCCUUGAGGGACCACCGAUGGCGAAGGCAUCUUACCAGAACGGCUUCGACAGUGAGGAACGACAGCUGGGGGAGCGAACGGGAUUAGAUACCCCGGUAGUGGCAGCCGUCAACUAUGCGCGUUAGAUGUGCAGUGUAACUACGAGUUACCGGGGUAAGUAGUUGGAUGGAAAGAAACGUGCCGCCUGGGAAGUACGGUCGCAAGGCUGAAACUUAAAGGAAUUGGCGGGGGAGCAAAACAACGGGUGGAGCCUGCGGUUUAAUUGGACUCAACGCCGGGCAGCUCACCGGAUAGGACAGCGGAAUGAUAGCCGGGCUGAAGACCUUCCUUGACCAGCUGAGAGGAGGUGCGUAACCGAGUCAGUUCGUACUCGAAGCACC